UACGAAGGGGACUAGCGUUGUUCGGAAUCACUGGGCGUAAAGCGCACGUAGGCGGAUAUGUCAGUCAGGGGUGAAAUCCCGGGGCUUUAACCUCGGAACUGCCUUUGAUACAGCAUAUCUUGAGUCCGAUAGAGGUGGGUGGAAUUCCUAGUGUAGAGGUGAAAUUCGUAGAUAUUAGGAAGAACACCGGUGGCGAAGGCGGCCCACUGGAUCGGUACUGACGCUGAGGUGCGAAAGCGUGGGGAGCAAACAGG
rnacentral:rRNA from 1 species